UUUGUAAUUGGAAUGAUAGAAAUUUAAACACUUUUUAAAGUAUCAAUUGGAGGGCAAGUCUGGUGCCAGCAGCCGCGGUAAUUCCAGCUCCAAUAGCGUAUAUUAAAAUUGUUGCAGUUAAAAAGCUCGUAGUUGAAUUUCUGUUAAAAAUAACCGGUCUGCUUUUAUUAAAAGUGGUAUCUUGGUGUGUUUUUAACAAUAAUGUCCUUUGAAAUGUUUUUUACUUUAUUGUAAUAAGUCAUUAUUUUGAGGAUUUUUACUUUGAGAAAAUUAGAGUGUUUCUAGCAGGCUUACGCUUUUGAAUACUGCAGCAUGGAAUAAUAAGAUAGGAUUUUAGUUCUACAUUAUUGGUUUUAAGAACUAAAUUAAUGAUUGAUAGGGAUAGUUGGGGGCAUUUGUAUUUAACUGUCAGAGGUGAAAUUCUUAGAUUUGUUAAAGACAAACUACUGCGAAAGCAUUUGCCAAAGAUGUUUUCAUUAAUCAAGAACGAAAGUUAGGGGAUCGAAGACGAUCAGAUACCGUC
rnacentral:rRNA from 1 species